CAGGCUUAACACAUGCAAGUCGAGGGGCAGCAUUUUAGUUUGCUUGCAAACUGAAGAUGGCGACCGGCGCACGGGUGAGUAACACGUAUCCAACCUGCCGAUAACUCCGGAAUAGCCUUUCGAAAGAAAGAUUAAUACCGGAUAGCAUACGAAUAUCGCAUGAUAUUUUUAUUAAAGAAUUUCGGUUAUCGAUGGGGAUGCGUUCCAUUAGUUUGUUGGCGGGGUAACGGCCCACCAAGACAACGAUGGAUAGGGGUUCUGAGAGGAAGGUCCCCCACAUUGGAACUGAGACACGGUCCAAACUCCUACGGGAGGCAGCAGUGAGGAAUAUUGGUCAAUGGGCGAGAGCCUGAACCAGCCAAGUAGCGUGAAGGAUGAAGGCUCUAUGGGUCGUAAACUUCUUUUAUAUGGGAAUAAAGUUUUCCACGUGUGGAAUUUUGUAUGUACCAUAUGAAUAAGGAUCGGCUAACUCCGUGCCAGCAGCCGCGGUAAUACGGAGGAUCCGAGCGUUAUCCGGAUUUAUUGGGUUUAAAGGGAGCGUAGGUGGAUUGUUAAGUCAGUUGUGAAAGUUUGCGGCUCAACCGUAAAAUUGCAGUUGAAACUGGCAGUCUUGAGUACAGUAGAGGUGGGCGGAAUUCGUGGUGUAGCGGUGAAAUGCUUAGAUAUCACGAAGAACUCCGAUUGCGAAGGCAGCUCACUAGACUGUCACUGACACUGAUGCUCGAAAGUGUGGGUAUCAAACAGGAUUAGAUACCCUGGUAGUCCACACAGUAAACGAUGAAUACUCGCUGUUUGCGAUAUACAGUAAGCGGCCAAGCGAAAGCAUUAAGUAUUCCACCUGGGGAGUACGCCGGCAACGGUGAAACUCAAAGGAAUUGACGGGGGCCCGCACAAGCGGAGGAACAUGUGGUUUAAUUCGAUGAUACGCGAGGAACCUUACCCGGGCUUAAAUUGCAACAGAAUAUAUUGGAAACAGUAUAGCCGUAAGGCUGUUGUGAAGGUGCUGCAUGGUUGUCGUCAGCUCGUGCCGUGAGGUGUCGGCUUAAGUGCCAUAACAAGCGCAACCCUUAUCUUUAGUUACUAACAGGUGAUGCUGAGGACUCUAGAGAGACUGCCGUCGUAAGAUGUGAGGAAGGUGGGGGUGACGUCAAAUCAGCACGGCCCUUACGUCCGGGGCUACACACGUGUUACAAUGGGGGGUACAGAAGGCGGCUACCUGGUGACAGGAUGCUAAUCCCAAAAACCUCUCUCAGUUCGGAUCGAAGUCUGCAACCCGACUUCGUGAAGCUGGAUUCGCUAGUAAUCGCGCAUCAGCCAUGGCGCGGUGAAUACGUUCCCGGGCCUUGUACACACCGCCCGUCAAGCCAUGAAAGCCGGGGGUACCUGAAGUACGUAACCGCAAGGAGCGUCCUAGGGUAAAACUGGUAAUUGGGGCUAAGUC
rnacentral:rRNA from 1 species